rnacentral:rRNA from 1 species
GAUGAACGCUAGCGAUAGGCCUAACACAUGCAAGUCGAGGGGCAUCACGGAGUAGCAAUACUUUGGUGGCGACCGGCGCACGGGUGAGUAACGCGUAUGCAAUCUAUCUACAACAGGGGGAUAACCCGGAGAAAUCCGGCCUAAUACCGCAUAACACAGGGGUCCCGCAUGGGAAUAUUUGUUAAAUAUUUAUCGGUUGUAGAUGAGCAUGCGUUCCAUUAGGUAGUUGGUGAGGUAAGGGCCCACCAAGCCUGCGAUGGGUAGGGGAACUGAGAGGUUUGUCCCCCACACGGGAACUGAGACACGGACCAGACUCCUACGGGAGGCAGCAGUGAGGAAUAUUGGUCAAUGGGCGAGAGCCUGAACCAGCCAAAUCGCGUGAAGGAAGACUGCCUUAUGGGUUGUAAACUUCUUUUGUACAGGAAUAAAAAGAGGGACGUGUCCUUCAUUGCAUGUACUGUACGAAUAAGCAUCGGCUAACUCCGUGCCAGCAGCCGCGGUAA